rnacentral:rRNA from 1 species
GAUGAACGCUGGCGGCGUGCCUAAUACAUGCAAGUCGAGCGAAUGGAUUAAGAGCUUGCUCUUAUGAAGUUAGCGGCGGACGGGUGAGUAACACGUGGGUAACCUGCCCAUAAGACUGGGAUAACUCCGGGAAACCGGGGCUAAUACCGGAUAACAUUUUGAACCGCAUGGUUCGAAAUUGAAAGGCGGCUUCGGCUGUCACUUAUGGAUGGACCCGCGUCGCAUUAGCUAGUUGGUGAGGUAACGGCUCACCAAGGCAACGAUGCGUAGCGGACCUGAGAGGGUGAUCGGCCAGAGUGGGACUGAGACACGGCCCAGACUCCUACGGGAGGCAGCAGUAUGGAAUCUUCCGCAAUGGACGAAAGUCUGACGGAGCAACGCCGCGUGAGUGAUGAAGGCUUUUGGGUCGUAAAACUCUGUUGUUAGGGAAGAACAAGUGCUAGUUGAAUAAGCUGGCACCUUGACGGUACCUAACCAGAAAGCCACGGCUAACUACGUGCCAGCCGCCGCGGUAAGAC